ACGCUGCUGUGUGGAAACGCUGAUUCCGUAUCACACUGCCACUGCUUCCGCAUUGCUCAACUCCAUGCUCUCUGCCUCUCUUCGCAGCACCAAGUUGGAGUCCUGAAGGGAGAAUCAAGUUGUCAAUUCUUCAUAUGGGCCGAUAUACUUUAGCUGAUAGAGGAGAAAUUUAUAACAAGAGAGAAUGCACUCCGAAAUAGAGAGGAUGAUUUAUUGUUGCGUGAGUAUGAUGUGUCAAGAAAAGAAGAUAAACUAAUACAAAGAGAGAACGAUUUGAACAUCCAAGAGGAGGAAGUUCGAAGGCAGGUCGUAGAGAAUAGAUGUGGUCGUAUAUUAUUGUGUCUGUAUUGGGUUUGUUAUAUUGUAAUAGUUUUUGGUUUGUUCGGAUGAUAGAUGUAUCGACUGUUAUUGUAAUUGCAGAAUUCUCUAUGAAUAUUUUGUAAUUA